rnacentral:rRNA from 1 species
AGAGUUUGAUCAUGGCUCAGAACGAACGCUGGCGGCGCGCCUAAUACAUGCAAGUCGAGCGAGAAGACGUAGCAAUACGUUUGUAAAGCGGCGAACGGGUGAGGAAUACAUGGGUAACCUACCCUCGAGUGGGGAAUAACUAGCCGAAAGGUUAGCUAAUACCGCGUACGCUCCUUGGACUUCGGUUCAGGGAGGAAAGCGAUACCGUGGGUAUCGCGCUCUUGGAUGGGCUCAUGUCCUAUCAGCUUGUUGGUGAGGUAACGGCUCACCAAGGCUUCGACGGGUAGCUGGUCUGAGAGGACGAUCAGCCACACUGGCACUGCGACACGGGCCAGACUCCUACGGGAGGCAGCAGUAAGGAAUAUUGCGCAAUGGGCGAAAGCCUGACGCAGCGACGCCGCGUGGGGGAUGAAGGUCUUCGGAUUGUAAACCCCUUUCGGGAGGGAAGAUGGAAUGGGGUAACCCAUUCGGACGGUACCUCCAGAAGCAGCCACGGCUAACUUCGUGCCAGCAGCCGCGGUAAUACGAAGGUGGCAAGCGUUGUUCGGAUUUACUGGGCGUACAGGGAGCGUAGGCGGUUCGGUAAGCCCUUUGUGAAAUCUCCAGGCUUAACCUGGAAAAGUCGGAGGGGACUGCCGGGCUAGAGGACGGGAGAGGAGCGCGGAAUUCCCGGCGUAGCGGUGAAAUGCGUAGAGAUCGGGAGGAAGGCCGGUGGCGAAGGCGGCGCUCUGGAACGUUUCUGACGCUGAGGCUCGAAAGCGUGGGGAGCAAACAGGAUUAGAUACCCUGGUAGUCCACGCCUUAAACUAUGAAUACUAAGUGUCGGCGGGUUACCGCCGGUGCCGCAGCUAACGCAUUAAGUAUUCUGCCUGGGAAGUACGGGCCGCAAGGUUGAAACUCAAAGGAAUUG